rnacentral:pre_miRNA from 1 species
AAAGUGCAAAUAGUGGUAGGUAGUGAUCACUGCCGUCUGCCUACUCCAUUUGCAUUUUGGCC